rnacentral:rRNA from 1 species
GAUGAACGCUGGCGGCGUGCCUAAUACAUGCAAGUCGAGCGAACAGACGAGGAGCUUGCUCCUCUGACGUUAGCGGCGGACGGGUGAGUAACACGUGGAUAACCCACCUAUAAGACUGGGAUAACUUCGGGAAACCGGAGCUAAUACCGGAUAAUAUAUUGAACCGCAUGGUUCAAUAGUGAAAGACGGUUUUGCUGUCACUUAUAGAUGGAUCCGCGCCGCAUUAGCUAGUUGGUAAGGUAACGGCUUACCAAGGCAACGAUGCGUAGCCGACCUGAGAGGGUGAUCGGCCACACUGGAACUGAGACACGGUCCAGACUCCUACGGGAAGCAGCAGUAGGGAAUCUUCCGCAAGGGGCGAAAGCCUGACGGAGCAACGCCGCGUGAGUGAUGAAGGUCUUCGGAUCGUAAAACUCUGUUAUUAGGGAAGAACAAAUGUGUAAGUAACUAUGCACGUCUUGACGGUACCUAAUCAGAAAGCCACGGCUAACUACGUG